rnacentral:tRNA from 1 species
GCCCGGAUAGCUCAACUGGUAGAGCACUUGAUUUGUAAUCAAGAGGUUGUGGGUUCGAUUCCCAUUCUUGGCU